rnacentral:rRNA from 1 species
GACUCCGGAUUGGAUGGUUUUAGUGAGGCCUUCUGACUGGCGCCGCUACUCUGGCAACAGAGCGGCGGAUGCCGGGAAGUUGGUCAAACUUGAUCAUUUAGAGGAAGUAAAAGUCGUAACAAGGUUUCCGUAGGUGAACCUGCGGAAGGAUCAUUACCGAUGUGAAAGAAUCCAAGGUUAAACAUCAUUAACCAGUGUGAACUGUGAAACAACUCUUUAGGGGUCGGCACAGGCGUGUGUCGUUAAAUGGCGGAUAGGUUCCUUCCGCCAGCCCCGCCAUUGUGUUUAUGAUAUCACUUUGAACGUUAAAGACUGAGAACUAUGGUUUCAGGCUUUAAUGGUUGAAAAAAAAAGGAAAAAAAAAGGAAAAAAAAUUUUGGACGGGGAAUCCCUGGGUUCACGUAUCGUUAAAAAAGCCACCCGCUUGCAAUUGGUAUGGGGAUUUGCAAAAUUCAUGGAACCUUUGAUCCUUUAACCCCAAAGGGGCUUCUGGGUUUCCCCCAGGACCUGGCCGGCCUAAUGGCCGAAUUUUAUCAAAGGCCUCCGGGAGUGCGGAAUUGAGGGGCCCCGGCGGGUUACCAACCAGCUUUACAUCCAUUAGUCCCUUGUGUCCCUUGAACGAUGGACUCAUUGUACUCAUUGUCUCUAUUGAAACUUGAGUGCGAAUGAUAUUUACCUUAUUUCCCUUCUGCCAUACAUGCAAUAACAUACACUCAAUCCAAUGACAGACGUGACAGAUCAUAUCCAUGACCUCUUGACCUCAAAGCUACCCGGGCUACUUGCUGAUAUUAAUCAUAUUAGGAAAAGAAACAAAAGAAACUUCCCUGGAUUCCCUUAAUAACAGCGAGUGUAGCUCAAAUAUCUCAUCUUCGAAAUCUCCGACGCUUGAGUCGGCUAUUGUAAUGCUAUAAAACUUUAUAGGCGUGCCUACGUGCUUGGAUGCUUGGUCAAUACGUCGACACGCGACAGCGCGUCUGUGGCCGGUCGGAUGUUCUUAUGUGAUUCGAUAGUUGGGAGUUGGCCAAGCCACCAAGCAACCGG